GACCAGCGUGCUGGGAAGCAGUGUGCUAUGACUCGGUCCUUGGUGGUGGUUGGCAAUUACAUUGGGUCAAAGUCAGGAUUCCCCAAAUCCAGCCCUGUUGACCUCUGCCUGGUCAACCAUUUGUGCCUCUCUGUGACAUCAAGAUGGGGCUACUCAUGAGAAGACAGUCUACUGUCGCACUGUCCUUAGGAUCCUGGGGGCCCAGCAGAAGAGUGGGUCCCUGGGAGGACACCUGACCUUCAUUUUAAUGCCUGGUCCCUCCCAAGGCCUCCUAUCAGGGGAUGGAGUGGCCCUCAUCUCCUAGCCUUCUAAUGCUAGGCUACUGGUAAAACCCACUUAUGCUGGCACACCUAAGGCCUGGUGUGUUCCCCUGUUCCAGAGCUGGAUGCCUUUGACAGGGGCUGAGUUCAGUGGAUACAAGAAUGGCAGAUGCCAAGAACCCAUUCACCCAUCUCUGUGUGCCAAACGCCUUCAGAACAUCGCCAAGACUCUCCUUGAGCCCUGUCAGAUGGAGCUGGUCCCAGCUGGCAAUGGGUACCACUGUUCCGAAGACCCUUAAUAUAGAUUGAUUGAUUGAU